rnacentral:rRNA from 1 species
AACUAACAUUGGCGGCAGGCCUAACACAUGCAAGUCGAGCGAGGUUUAGAACCGAGCGGCGAACGGGUGCGUAAUACUUGGAAAUCUGCCCUAAAGUGGGGGAUAACUGGCAGAAAUGCUAGCUAAUACCGCAUAAACCCUACGGGGGAAAGCGUUGAAGCGCUUUAGGAUGAGUCCAAGCCUGAUUAGCUUGUUGGCGGGGUAAAAGCCCACCAGGCGACGAUCAGUAGCUGGUCUGAGAGGAUGAUCAGCCACAUUGGGACUGAGACACGGCCCAAACUCCUACGGGAGGCAGCAGUGGGGAAUAUUGGACAAUGGGCGCAAGCCUGAUCCAGCCAUGCCGCGUGAAUGAUGAAGGCCUUAGGGUUGUAAAAUUCUUUCAACGGUGACGAUAAUGACGGUAACCGUAGAAGAAGCCCCGGCUAACUUCGUGCCAGCAGCCGCGGUAA